UGUAUAUGUCCAAUCUUACGGACCAACACCCACCCUCAUCCGCCCAAAAAAUGAAUUAGCUACUACCAUAAAUAUUGUACAAGGAUUUUGAGAUAUAAGAGAGACUUAUAAUAAUUCAAUACCCUAAAUAUGAAUCCUAAUUUGAGAAAAGGCUUCCUUGCAUAAUGGACUACUUUGCUUAUUGCUACCUAAAAAAAAAACAGGGUAGAGCAUCAAUAUUUACUAAGAAAAAUAACUGAUUCCUUGUGUAAGAAUCGGUCGUAGUGCAAACAUUAUUUUUUUUAA
rnacentral:lncRNA from 1 species